GUGGUUCUAAAAAAUAAAUUGACAUUAGUAAAUAUUUCAUAAUUGUAAAAUAACGUGAGUAAUACCACGUUUUAGUGAAAAUUUUGGGAUAAAGUCUGUUAAUGGGUUGGACAAUUGAAAUUGUGUCAGUUAAGAGUUAUUUAGCCACGACAAUAAUUUUGCUACAUUUAUAUUUUCCCCUUGAAAAAUUUAGAAUGAGAUGUUCCUGAGUAAACAAAAAUGACAAUACGGUGCCACAGUAUCCUAGAAAGAGCAUUUUUAUUUUGACUUUCUUUGCAUUUUAUUGAAGUGCGUGUCACUUCAAUAUAGCGUGAUAUGGAUUGGCCUCUGGAAUAUACAUGAAUUUUUUAUUGACGUUUUCAAUCAGCCUUAAUUUUUGUGUCUGCAUGUUCGAAGUAGCACGUUCUCAAUUCCGACUGAAAGUGUCUUUCUAAUACAACACAGGGUACACAUAACGUGUUCUCGUUCACAUAUGAACAUGAUAUUUGUCACUGGACGUUAAACCCUAAUUCGUCAGCAUCAUCCAAUUGGUUCUUUUCUUCUAUUACUUAAUGAUAUGUUGUUUACAAAUUAAAUCACUAUAAAGAAGUAAACGGAAAGGAGCGAAUGCAGCUACAUUUGGUUAUUUAAAGUUUCAAUUCAUUUUAUUCCGUUUAGUUCCUUUCUACAUAAGUGCAGAGGAGAACUACAGCUGUCUAUGGUGGUCGGUGAAGUCCAUUUCGCGUUUUCGCGAUUUCGCCUUUCAUAUUCUAUAGGGCGAAAACGCGAAAUGGCACUAUAGUUGUCCGCAUGUAAACUUCUAGAAGUUGUCACCAAUAUAAGUACAUCGCAAUCCGUUACUGUUUCAACAGCCAUCGGUGUUUCAUGUGAGACUGUGGUAUUCUUAAACAAGUAUUAUUUUUCUUUCGUUUUUAGCAAUGUAUCACUCUCUAUUGUCCUUAUAUAUUAUUCUAUAUUCGGUUUCCAUCCAGAUUCUCGUGUAUACCAUGAGGGUCCGGAUUGGGGGUAUUGUUUAUUUCUGUAUUCUUUAAAUUGUUAUGUCAUUUUUUUCUACAUUUUAUUUAUCUUACUCAUUAUUCUUUCUUUAUUUUUCAUAUUUUGUCAUCCCAAUAUAUUUUACUUACUGAUGUUAAGUUACAUUACGACGUUUAUCUCUGAUUUAUAUACUGUUACCAUAUUAGAUGACAAAUUUGUGUCAUU
rnacentral:lncRNA from 1 species